CGCUGGGUGGAGCAGCUUGGUAGCUCGUCGGGCUCAUAACCCGAAGGCCGUCGGUUCAGAUCCGGCCCCCGCAACCA
rnacentral:tRNA from 1 species